GAAGCAAGGGAGGGACACUAGGGCUGCUAGCAUCCUGGGAAGAGUGGCCACUGACAGACCUCAGGGGACACCAAGGCAAGCUGUUCCAGUCCAUAUCGGAAGCAGAACUAGAAAGGUAACUGGACUAAGAAGACAGCCAGCAUUAUGUCCCUGACCCUUCAAGGUCUACAAAUAACUCUGGACAUGAAGAAUCUUUUCUAUAAGAUCCUACAACUUUGGAAUCAGCUGAAAAAAUGUUUACGUCAAUGUGAAGACUUUCGUCUGAACGUCUGUGGUGGAUGCAGAGAAAGAGCACAUCAGAAAGGUUACAAGUCUGUUGGUCGCUGCCAUCCACAGCCAGGGUGAGUCUUCCCUCUUCAUCCGCACCCAGAACUUCGCUAAGCCAGUCAGUGGACUGAUCAGUACCACACACCCAUGAUUCAGUCACCUCCCAAGGCCCCAUCUGUGAGUGCACGAGGCUUCAGGGGCAUCUGGUUAAAAGCCAUAACAGAGCCAUAGCUGUAGGAAUCAGGUGGCCAGGGUAAAUG